AAAUUGAAGAGUUUGAUCAUGGCUCAGAUUGAACGCUGGCGGCAGGCCUAACACAUGCAAGUCGAACGGUAACAGGAAGCAGCUUGCUGCUUUGCUGACGAGUGGCGGACGGGUGAGUAAUGUCUGGGAAACUGCCUGGUGGAGGGGGAUAACUACUGGAAACGGUAGCUAAUACCGCAUAACGUCGCAAGACCAAAGAGGGGGACCUUCGGGCCUCUUGCCA
rnacentral:rRNA from 1 species